CCUUCGAUAGCUCAGUUGGUAGAGCGGUGGACUGUAGAGGAAUAACUCAUUGAUAUCCAUAGGUCGCUGGUUCAAAUCCGGCUCGAAGGA